rnacentral:rRNA from 1 species
UACGUAGGGUGCAAGCGUUGUCCGGAAUUAUUGGGCGUAAAGAGCUCGUAGGCGGUCUGUCGCGUCGGCUGUGAAAACCCGGGGCUCAACCCCGGGCCUGCAGUCGAUACGGGCAGACUAGAGUGCGGUAGGGGAGACUGGAAUUCCUGGUGUAGCGGUGAAAUGCGCAGAUAUCAGGAGGAACACCGGUGGCGAAGGCGGGUCUCUGGGCCGUAACUGACGCUGAGGAGCGAAAGCGUGGGGGAGCAAACAGG